AGCAGCCGCGGUAAUUCCAGCUCCAAUAGCGUAUAUUAAAGUUGCUGCAGUUAAAAAGCUCGUAGUUGAAUUUCGGGACCAUCAUGUCGGUCGUGCCUCGGUACGUACUGGCAUUGUUGGUUUCUCCCUUCUGAAGAACCAUGAUGUCAUUAAUUUGGUGUCUUGGGGAAUCAGGACUGUUACUUUGAAAAAAUUAGAGUGUUUAAAGCAGGCUCGCGCUUGAAUACAUUAGCAUGGAAUAAUGAAAUAGGACGUUUGAUUCUAUUUUGUUGGUUUCUAGGAUCGACGUAAUGAUUAAUAGGGAUAGUUGGGGGCAUUAGUAUUCAAUUGUCAGAGGUGAAAUUCUUGGAUUUAUUGAAGACUAACUACUGCGAAAGCAUUUGCCAAGGAUGUUUUCAUUAAUCAAGAACGAAAGUUAGGGGAUCGAAGACGAUCAGAUACCGUCGUAGU
rnacentral:rRNA from 1 species